rnacentral:rRNA from 1 species
AGUGAACGCUGGCGGUAGGCCUAACACAUGCAAGUCGAACGGCAGCACAGUAAGAGCUUGCUCUUACGGGUGGCGAGUGGCGGACGGGUGAGGAAUACAUCGGAAUCUACUUUUUCGUGGGGGAUAACGUAGGGAAACUUACGCUAAUACCGCAUACGACCUACGGGUGAAAGCAGGAGAUCUUCGGACCUUGCGCGAUUGAAUGAGCCGAUGUCGGAUUAGCUAGUUGGCGGGGUAAAGGCCCACCAAGGCGACGAUCCGUAGCUGGUCUGGGAGGAUGAUCAGCCACACUGGAACUGAGACACGGUCCAGACUCCUACGGGAGGCAGCAGUGGGGAAUAUUGGACAAUGGGCGCAAGCCUGAUCCAGCCAUACCGCGUGGGUGAAGAAGGCCUUCGGGUUGUAAAGCCCUUUUGUUGGGAAAGAAAAGCAGCAGGUUAAUACCCCGCUGUUCUGACGGUACCCAAAGAAUAAGCACCGGCUAACUUCGUG